UGCGUAGGCGGUUUAGCAAGUCAGCUGUGAAAGCCCAGGGCUCAACCUUGGAACUGCAGUUGAAACUGCUAUGACUAGAGUAUGGCGGGGGGAAAGUGGAAUUCCUAGUGUAGGGGUGAAAUCCGUAGAUAUUAGGAGGAACAUCAGUGGCGAAGGCGACUUUCUAUACCAUUACUGACGCUGAGGUACGAAGCGGUGGGGAGCAAACA
rnacentral:rRNA from 1 species